rnacentral:lncRNA from 1 species
GAGACCAAGGAGAUCAGCUGGGAGCAGAUCCUGGCAUAUGGCGACAUGAACCACGAGUGGGUGGGCAACGACUGGCUGCCCAGCCUUGGGCUGCCCCAGUACCGAAGCUACUUCAUGGAGUCGCUAGUUGAUGCUCGGAUGUUGGACCAUCUGAACAAGAAAGAACUGCGAGGCCAACUCAAGAUGGUGGACAGCUUCCACAGGGUUAGUCUGCACUAUGGUAUCAUGUGCUUGAAACGGCUCAACUAUGACCGGAAGGAUCUGGAGCGAAGGAGGGAAGAAAGCCAGACCCAAAUCAGAGAUGUGAUGGUGUGGU